rnacentral:rRNA from 1 species
AUGGCUCAGGAUGAACGCUAGCUACAGGCUUAACACAUGCAAGUCGAGGGCAGCAUGGGAGCAAUACUCAGAUGGCGACCGGCGCACGGGUGAGUAACACGUAUCCAACCUGCCGCUUACUCGGGGAUAGCCUUUCGAAAGAAAGAUUAAUACCCGAUGGUAUAAAGAGUUCGCAUGUUCUCUUUAUUAAAGAAUUUCGGUAAGCGAUGGGGAUGCGUUCCAUUAGAUAGUUGGCGGGGUAACGGCCCACCAAGUCUACGAUGGAUAGGGGUUCUGAGAGGAAGGUCCCCCACAUUGGAACUGAGACACGGUCCAAACUCCUACGGGAGGCAGCAGUGAGGAAUAUUGGUCAAUGGACGAGAGUCUGAACCAGCCAAGGUAGCGUGAAGGAUGACUGCCCUAUGGGUUGUAAACUUCUUUUAUAAGGGAAUAAAGUGAGGGACGUGUCCCUUUUUGUAUGUACCUUAUGAAUAAGGAUCGGCUAACUCCGUGCCAGCCGCCGC